UUUCCUAAAAAUGCAUCAACCUGUUUGCUUUUGGUUGCUCUCUUUUUUAAAAGUCACUCUGAGAGAUUUGGGGAAGGGGCGUCUAAAUUGCUCAGACUCUGAUUUGGGGAUCUAGGAGUCUGGGACAAAAUUUUUGAGAUGGAGUCUCACUCUGUUGCCCAGGUUGGAGUGCAAUGGCGCAAUCUUGGCUCACUGCAACCUCAGCAUCCCAGGUUCAAAUGAUUCUCCUGCCUCAGCCUAGAAGAUUAGGAGAUGAAUUUGUUUUGAAAGACAGUACAGAGUUAGCCUUGACUGCAAAUUGGACAUUUUAUUGCAUUUGUCUGAUGGAUAAUCACAGAUAAAGACUUUGAUCUUUAUCCCCAUGGCAGCAAUAAGAAAAAGGCAGGAACUCUGUGUACUAUCUUUUAUUUCUUUUCUCUGCAGUUCUGGGAAAAUUGAGCCUAUUUAAAUGCUCAG
rnacentral:lncRNA from 1 species